rnacentral:tRNA from 1 species
GCAUGAAGGGUACGUCCUGUCGGGCGUCCUCACAAAUUACCUGCAUUCAGAGAUUCAUACCGGCACAGGUUCGGUAUGCGAAGUCCCUUUUGGGGCCUUAGCUCAGCUGGGAGAGCACCUGCUUUGCAAGCAGGGGGUCGUCGGUUCGAUCCCGACAGGCUCCACCAUAUUGAGUGAAAAGACUUCGGGUCUGUAGCUCAGGUGGUUAGAGCGCACCCCUGAUAAGGGUGAGGUCGGUAGUUCGAGUCUACCCAGACCCACCACUCUGAAUGUAGUGCACACUUAAGAAUUUAUAUGGAUCAGCGUUGAGGCUGAGACAUGUUCUUUUAUAACUUGUGACGUAGCGAGCGUUUGAGAUAUCUAUCUAAACGUGUCGUUGAGGCUAAGGCGGGGACUUCGAGUCCCUAAAUAAUUGAGUCGUAUGUUCGCGUUGGUGGCUUUGUACUCCACACAGCACGGCA